GACCUAGUAGCGGACGGCCCGCACCUGCAUUCACUGGUAAAUGAUUCGAACUGAACGGCAGGAGUUCCUGGUUCGACUCCAGGCUAGGUCA